rnacentral:tRNA from 1 species
GCCGAAGUGGCGGAAUAGGCAGACGCGUCGGUCUCAAAAACCGAUGGGGGAAACCUCGUGCCGGUUCGACCCCGGCCUUCGGCACCA